AUUGAACGCUGGCGGCAGGCUUAACACAUGCAAGUCGAACGAGUGGCGGACGGGUGAGUAAUGCUUGGGCAUCUGGCUUAUGGAGGGGGAUACCUACGGGAAACUGUCGCUAAUACCCCGUACCAUACGCUGCUCCCAAGGGGGAUUAGGUAGUUGGGGGGGUAAUGGCCGACCCAGCCGCCGAUCUCUAGCUGGUCUGAGAGGAUGACCAGCCACACGGGGUCUGAGACGAGGCCCGGACGCCACCGGGAGGCAGCGGUGGGGAAUAUUGCGCAAGGGGGGCAAGCUGAUGCAGCAAUGCCGCGUGGAUGAAGAAGGCCUUCGGGUUGUAAAGUUCUUUCGGUGAGGAGGCGGUACUCACAGAAGAAGCACCGGCUAACUCCGUGCCAGCAGCCGCGGUAAUUC
rnacentral:rRNA from 1 species